GCAAGAGUUCUUCGAUUUACAAGCGGAAGUUUGUCAAUCAGUUCAUCUAAUUUUUCGAAAUCAACUGUUGAUUCUACAGCUUGUGAAAAUUCAUUAAUCAGUUCAGGAACAAUCAAAGAUAUUAACAUCAGCACCAUUGUCAAUUAAAAAUUCAAUCAUCGGUAUCACGUCAUUUGAAUGUAAUUUAACAAGAUGAUAAAGUGGAGUACGAUUAAA